GCCAGCGUGACGUAGUGGUUUGAGCACUGGACUGUGACUCUGGAGGCCAGGGUUUGAUUCCCAGCUCAGCUA